GCUUGUUGCUUGACUUGCUUGAAAGUACCUCUCUCAGGAAAGUGGUUCGAAUUAUGUAAUAAAAGUCAGAAAUUGUCUAAGGAGCUGAAUCACAGAGGUCAGGGAGCUGAAGAACGUGGAACACUGAUGUUAAUGUGACAGAAAACAACAGAAAGAGCAAAGACUAUCCUCCAGAGUGUGAGUCAUACAAUACCUGUAUUUAUGACAGGAUGCUCUGAAAUAUUCUUUUUCAACAGCACUGUGGUCUUUUCUUCUCUGCAAAUAAUCCUCUUUCAUAUGUAAGUUAUGAUUCACAUUGUAAGUUUAGACCAUAGUGAAAUAUUCUUGCAUAGUCCUGUGUCUUUUCUUUUCUAGUCAGUCCCGAAAACACAUCAGUGCCAGUAACAGAAGCCAGUAUCUCAGAUGACUCGAGGUUGAAAUGUUGGUGUUCUGAGAUAUUCGGUCCAAACCAAAGACCGACGAUAUGGAGGGCAAGAUGGAGUGAGAGAACAUAUGAUGACAUGUUACCUGAAAGAAAGACCUCCAGCAGCACCAUCAGUUCGUGUGACUCAGGAUAUGCUUCAAGAAAAUGCAAAGAGAUUUUCACUCCCAAACAAAGACGAUAUGCAGUGCAGGAUGGGAUGAGAGAACAUGAUGACAUGUUACCUGGAACAACAACCUCUUCCAGCACCAAUUCAUUUGACUAAGGAUAUGCUUCAAGAAAAUGCACAUCCAUUUUCUCCAUCCCUGAAAAUGCCAAACAGAACAAACAAAAAAAUGUGUCAACUACGAAUAAGACCAGCAGUAGAGACAAAGUUGUUUGUCCACUCCAGGUGCCACUAUGACCAGCCAUGAGUAAACAGUAAUGAGGCUCUCUGAAUGUAGUCACGGCCCUGAUCAUAUUGUCCAGAAAUUUGUAAUUUGAGAGUCGACUUGGAGGAAAAGUGCAUACAGGCAUCUGAAGUGAAACAUUGCUAUAGUGUGCAAUGUAGAUCAUGCAGCAUGUCACACAAAAACACCCUUCUGUAGAGCUUGUUUUACCUGCUGGGGGGGGUGGAUUUGUGUGCUUGCGCGUGCCUCAAAAGAAUGACUUACA